rnacentral:rRNA from 1 species
GAUGAACGCUAGCGGCAGGCCUAAUACAUGCAAGUCGGACGGGAAUCCGGAGCUUGCUUCUGCUGAGAGUGGCGCACGGGUGCGUAACACGUAUGUAACCUACCUUUAUCAGGGGGAUAGACUCUCGAAAGAGAGAUUAAGCCCGCAUAAAAUCACAGCACAGCAUUGUGUAAUGAACAAAUAUUUAUAGGAUAAAGAUGGGCAUGCGGAACAUUAGCUAGAUGGCGGGGUAACGGCCCACCAUGGCGACGAUGUUCAGGGGAUCUGAGAGGAUGGCCCCCCACACUGGUACUGGGCCCCGUGCCAGACACCUACGGGACGCAGCCGUAAGGAAUAUUGGUCAAGGGGCGGAAGCCUGAACCAGCCAUGCCGCGUGCAGGAAGGCGGCCCUACGGGUUGUAAACUGCUUUUAGACGGGAAUAAACCCAGAUACGUGUAUCUGGCUGAAUGUACUGUAAGAAUAAGGAUCGGCUAACUCCGUG